GCUGUGAAUCUUUUUUCUUCCUGGACCAAACUAAAGUGAACUUCGUUCCUGUCUGAUAUUUAUCCAGCUUCAAAAGUGGAAGCACCUGAAGCUACUUUGUUCAAGUUUCCUGAGUUUCUGGGAAGGCCUGGUUUCCCCAAAGGAACGAUUUCUGGUAGAAUUCUGGAAGUCUGACCCAAGAAAAAUAAUCCAGUAUAGCCAAUGAAUUGAGGACAAGAAGGUUUCCAAUCAGCAGUUUAAGCCAGGAGAGUAAAUCCAGUUCCUAUUACUCCAUCCUGUCCAGAAGCACAGGUCUUAAGUGAAAUUUAAUACCAAAGAAACAGUUCCAAAUUUUACAACGGAUCUAUCACUGGUUGUUAGCAUAUCUUCCCACACCCAAGACACCAAGAUACCUUCUACUCACUGUUAAAGCUUUAUGAUGAGCAAAACUUCCACCACUGUGCUUCCUUAGCAUGAGACACAGUCUACUGGAGAGAGGCAGAACUGUGAACAGAUGACUGCGUAAAGAGGCAAAGUCAAGUCUUAUUUAUUCAGAGGAAGAAGUCCCCGUGAUCAAACAACAAGUAAAAUCAUUUCAGUGUGCAAGACAUGGAUUUGUGAUUGAAAAUGCACAAGCAUAUUUAUUAUCCAUCAUAGAUGGUCACCUAUUAUAAUCAGUGAGAUUUCUUAAUGGCACAGCAUCUAGAGGAGGACGUCAUGCAUGAACCUGUCAUAUUCAGAAAGUAAGGAAGUGGCACAGUGGGAACAAUUCAGGAAAGUAAAUAAACAUGACAGUAGAUUUAAAAUCUACUUUGCCUGUUCUUACUAUUAUUAAUCUAUUUGGGCAAGUA